UGAAGGCUUCACGCCCUUCUGACUUUGUCCUCCACUGAUUUCUCAGUCGGAUGGUGUGGAGAGAUUCCCAUUGAGUGAAAGCACGUGGGCGUGCCUGUGGGCAUACGUGAGUGUGUGCAGAGGCUUGAGUAAUAUUUGAACUGAGGAGGUCUCAGGGACCUUUCUAAUGUAGUGUGUUAAAAUGGGGAAAAGAAGUGAAAAAAACUGUGUGAGUAUAUGAUGGAGAGGCUUUGGAGGCAAAGAAAAUCACAGAUGCAAUGUCCGUGUCAGCAUGUUUGAGAAUCACAAGAGCCUGUAUAGGUGACAUGAGACUGAAACUUGGGAAAGUGACAUGUGAAGGAGUUAGAGGGCUACCCAGAUACUGUAACAAUGAGCUUGUAGUCCCGGGAAGACCACUGAAUCUUACUUUGUGCUUUAAAAAAACUGUGUUUUAAGAGCCUCCAAUACUUGGCUUCUCUAUAAGAAUUAAUUAAUUACACUAAGUGAGGGAACUUGCUCUUUUGUUUUUAUCCAUGUCGUCUGGAAUGACACUUGAUGAGGAAGACAAACAUCUGGAAACGUGGUCAUCACCAGUCCUUAAGUUUCAUUCCCUGGCCAAGUCCUCCUUUCCUCUCCUCCCGCUGUUACUAUGCAGUAUCAGCAUAAUUUAUGGGAUAGUCUGUGAUAUUUUAAUACAUCUAUAUGAUGUGUGAUUCUCAAACCAGGACAAUUGGUGUAUCUAUCACUUGAAGCAUUUAUCAUUGUGUGUGUGUGUGUGUGUGUGUGUGUGUGUGUGUGUUUGCCAGGGCCACCAAAAAUCUUCUCUACUAGAUAUUUUUAAAUACAUGAUUAAUCGUUGUCAACUAUAAUUACCCUACUGUGCUAUACAACAAAACAUCACCAUUUUAAAUGUUAGAGUUAAAUACUUU
rnacentral:lncRNA from 1 species